rnacentral:rRNA from 1 species
CACGAACGCUGGCGGCAGGCCUAACACAUGCAAGUCGAACGCCCUAGCAAUAGGGAGUGGCAGACGGGUGAGUAACACGUGGGAAUAUCCCCCUCAGUACGGAAUAGCCCAGGGAAACUUGGAGUAAUACCGUAUACGUCCGUGAGGAGAAAGAUUUAUCGCUGAGGGAUUAGCCCGCGUCGGAUUAGCUAGUUGGUGAGGUAACGGCUCACCAAGGCGACGAUCCGUAGCUGGUCUGAGGGGACGACCAGCCACAUUGGGACUGAGACACGGCCCAAACUCCUACGGGAGGCAGCAGUGGGGAAUAUUGGACAAUGGGCGCAAGCCUGAUCCAGCCAUGCCGCGUGAGUGACGAAGGCCUUAGGGUUGUAAAGCUCUUUUGGCGGGGACGAUAAUGACGGUACCCGCAGAAUAAGCCCCGGCUAACUUCGUGCCAGCAGCCGCGGUAACAC